ACGAAGCAAAUUGCGUUGAGUAAAGUCUGAUCAAAUCCAUUGAGAACACUCCUCAGGGCUAAAACUUAAUACUAACUUAAGAGUAUGGGUGCGGGAGGAUGCUUAAGGAUAAGGAAAUUCAAUUAAUGGCUCUCAGUUUUUAGCGGUUGCCCAGGUUAAAUAAAAAAAAAU